CGGCUGGUCGAGCCUAUGGACCGUCUGGAAGACAGGAUAUGUAAGAAACACGACCAACUUCUGGAGCUCUUCUGCCAGACUGAACAGGAGUGUGUGUGUCUGUUGUGCACAGUGACAGACCACAAGUCCCAUCCUGUUGUACCUCUAAAGGAUGAGUAUAAAGUGAAGACGGCCCAACUGGGGAAGAUAGAGGCUGAAGUUCAGCAGAUGAUCCAGGAGAGAAAACAAAAGAUUAAGGAGAUCAAAGACGCAGUUAAAUGUAGCAAAGCAGAUGCAGACAGAGAGAUAGCUGACAUUGUGCAGGUCCACACCGCUCUGAUGCGCUGCAUUGAAAAGUGUCAGGAUGAUCUCAACCAAAUGGUUACAGAGCGACGGAAAUCCAUAGAGAAACAAGCUGAAGCCCUCAUCAAAGGGAUGGAGCAGGAAAUAGAAGAUCUGACCAAUAGAAGCUCAGAGGUGAAGCAGCUCUCACACACUGAAGACCACCUCCACUUCCUCCAGGCCUUCAGAUCCCUGAAGGAUCCUCCUCCCACCAGGGCCUGGAAGGCGGUGGACGUCCGUCCUCUGUCAUACGUAGGGAGCUUGAGGAGAUCCCUCAAUCAGCUGGGGGUGACAAUCGAAAUGGAGAUGAAGAAGCUGGCUGAUCCUGAACUGAAGUGGUUCCAGCAGUAUGAAGUAGAUGUGACUCUGGAUCCUGAUACAGCUCAUCCCCGUCUCCUCCUGUCUGAGGAUGGGAAACAAGUUCAUGAUGGAGGUCCGGACGGCGUCGGGGACUAUAUGUGCAGGAGGUUGGACCCCCGCUAUGUGGGCUCAGGGACCCCGUCUCGGGAGGCCAGCGGUGGAAUGGAGUACCUGACCCGGGCCCCCCCUCCUGCUCCAGGGGUCCCGGGGGUCUGGGGGGUUCCGCGACCCACUCCUCCGCCCCGUGUGGGGGUCGUGGGCUGGGGGUGGAGCUACAGCCAGCAGCUGAACAGCACCGCGCUGCUCAGCAACAUGCAGAUCAAGAAGAGUGAGAUGCGGACCGGGGAGGAGAUCCAGACCAGGCCAGAGGGGUUGCCUGUCUACGCCUCACUUCCUGUGGGAGGCUGGGAACGAAUCACGCGCCACUAGUGAGAGGCCAUGACAUCACUUCCUGUGGGAGGCUGGGAACGAAUCACACACCACUAAAAACCUCCUGUCAGACAGCAGUGGAAGAGAGAACUGCAAACACUGACCUCUACAAUAAAACAUGUUCCCCUGAAACACAUCGUCCGAUGAUAUGACUCUAACAGGCCGACUCCAGAUGGAGAUAAACACAUAGAAUCCUCUGGGCCAGAAACAUGGAUAAUGUUCCAACAUGACAGACUAUGGCCAAUCAGCAGCAGGUCAUGGGGUUCGCAGUGAGAGACGAUACAAGAUGGGCCGACUUCUGAUUACCGUGGAAACCUGUUAGCCAGAUCCAGAUCAGGUCAGAGGUCCCUGCUCCGGUAUCAAACGGAAGUAAAUGGUCUGGAAAUGGCUCUGUAAUCCAGCCGGGGGUGUUGGGCUGAUAGCUGGCCUCACAGACCUCCUAUCUGUCCAUUGGAGAUGGGUCCAGGGCUCUGGUUUAUUAAUCCCAACAUCUCAUUUUACACUGCUGAUACACACCAGAACAGG